CCCUGCAUUUGAAAGUGAUUGUGGGCUUGCUGUGCCGUAGUCACUGGUAGUGCACGGAGAGCAGCUGUUGGAGAGUGCCUUCCCCGUGUCUGGAGGGUCCACUGCCAUUGCUUGCAAACUCUGGAGCUUUCCCACA